ACUUGAGGAGUGAGAAAAGACAAGACACAUUAAAGGGUGAAUCAGAGUUAUGGGAGUUUCUGAAAAGCCUCCAGGAAGCCACGCCCCCAAAAAUAAAUGCAUAUCUGAUCCAGCCCUGCUUUCAUCACAUUUCAUCACAUCAAACUCCACCAACAAUACGCCAACAAUGAGGCUGCAAGUCCCCCUGCUGCUCAUCUGCGUGCUUUUCCCAAAAGCGCAGACCCUGAAAUGCUAUCAGUGUUUACCUGGGUCGUCUGGAAAAUGCACAACUACCCAGACAGACUGUCCAGAGCAGUGUGCCAGCAUGACCACUGCUGUGUACAUCGGUGGUGUAAACACGGGAGAUGUUAAUGUGAAGAACUGUUCAGCAGCUGGGCAGUGUGUCUCCGGGAGCCGCAACAUGGGAAUUUUGAAAAUGACUGUCAACUCCAAAUUUCUGCAGCACUGAUCUGUGCAACACCAACAAACCACCAGCUUUGCCAAAAGGGUCUCCAAAUGGGAAGAAGUGUUACGCCUGCAUUGAUGACGACUGCUCAAGAACUGUGAGCUGUGAGGGAGAUGAGGAUCAAUGCGUCAGCA